rnacentral:lncRNA from 1 species
CAGAGGAGUUGUCAAGCUUGAGUUUUGUGACUUCUCCAUCGUUGACACAAUGAUCCAUAGCCCAGCUUGAACGGUAAAGGUCCUCGAACCUAGCUCCAGGAGCAGCCUCACCACAAGAAAUCACACACACCACCAUCAUCAUACACAUGAACCAGCCCAUACCCACCAUUUUGUUUUUAAAUGUCUCUCUUUUUCACUCACACACUUGACUUGGUGGAGGAAACAAGUGAGGGAGGAGGAGAUUUAUAAAAUGCGAGAGAGGGGAGGGGAGGGGAGGGGAGUGUGAGUGAGCUGGCAUACAGUGGAGAGAGAGAUGCCACGUUGGAUUCGACGUGACAAUAAUAAGUAGACAAAAACACCCAUCUUCGUAAAGAUGGAUCACUCAAAACAAGAGAAGAGAUAAAAGAGAGAGUUUGGGAAAUGAAGCCGUUGCUGUGAGGGCAUCAAUCAGUGGGGCUCCACUUUGUACUACACUCAGGACAAGAAUUUAUGCUUCUCUGUCUACAAAAAAACCUCUCUUUGAGUAGAAAAACAGAGACUUUACUGGUUUUAGAGAGAGAGAGAGAGAUAAUAAGUGAAUAUAAUUGAUUCUAUUGAGUGUAAUAAUGAACGAAAAGAAAGAGUAGGACCAUUUUUACAGCUAACAUGUUUUCAUUGCAUUGGAUCCAGCUGUGCAUUUGGCUCUUUUGAGGUCAUAUCUAGAUCUUUUUUCAUGCAUCAAAAGAAAGGAAUUGAUUGGUAUACAGUAUUUUACUUGCUCUCUCUUUCCUUCCUUUAUGGGGGAAUUCAAAUUUUUGUUUGUCUUGCAGACAUGGAUUAGAUAUGGCAGGUGUGACGUUAUUUUAUGAAUAGAAAAGAAAAAGUAUAUUGCCUUGGUUUGGUGGUAGUUUAAGACAUUGUCAAGUUGGGCGUAAUUGUAUUGUUUGUUCGAUUUUAGUAUCAUUAUCUAUUUUAGUUUGGAUCACACAAAAAAUCUACUUUAGUUUGAUUGGGUUUAUAUACUAAAAAUUUCUAUUUAUUCAGUUUUAUAUUAAAAACCAUAAUUUUAUUUAUCUGUUAUAACAAAUUUUAGUUUAUAUGAUUAGAAAUCAGAUUUUUAUAUAUCACACCCAGUGCUCUAACUUUUAAAUAAAAUAUUAUCUGUUUUCUUUAACUAUUAACAAUAAAUGUAAGAAAAUAGUAAUAUUAUUAUAUUAUUAAAUAACUAUCUUUUAUACAAAAAUUUACCAAUAAAAUUUUCAAAAAUAGUUUAUUUAAUUUGAUGAAAAUGAAAAAAUAAAAAAUAUUAAAAUAAAUGUUUUAAGUAUGAAUAUUAUAUUAAUAAAAUAAAUUAUGUAUAUAUUUUUAAUUUUAUAUAAAAUUCACAUAUAAAUAUACUAAUAUGUUUUAAUUAAUCGACUUCGUCGAAUUAUUUGGUUUGAUCAGUUCGUACACUGAACAAUAUUUAUAUUCUGUUGUUUUUUUAAAAUAACAUCCAUUCGAUUUAUUCGGUUAUAUUUGGUUUUAAACUUUUAAUUGGUUUUUUUUUUGGUCUAAGGUUUUAAUUGGUUUAGUUUUAUGAGAUUGAAAAACCCAGUGUAAUUACAACAUUUACGUUUGUAUGUGUGUGGUAUAUCCGGGGACGAAGUUGUUUUUUCUUCCUGUCGGCCAUUCGAGACAACGAAAACGAAAACGAGAACACAUGCUUUUUCUGGACACUAAUGGAGAAUUGAAAUGAAAAUCACGGGCGUUUCUUGAAUCAAGACAAAAUGAGACACUGACGUAUGGUGAAUCUGAAGAUGAUUUAAGAACAUUAAACGAUUGGUUAAAAUGUUUGAAAUGUCAUUCAUAUAAAAUAGUAAAUCAUAUCAUCAGAUUCAAUGUUAUCUCAGUUUACAAAAGAAAAAUGUUAUCUCACUUAUCAAGGUUUGUUCUCGUGAACAUUUGCCGAGCAAGUGGCUAAGCUUUAUCUAAUAACGCGCGUGCAUGCACCGAAUGGCUUGUUAACUCAGACUCAUGCCUUUUAACUGUGUCAGUAGGUUGGUAAAGUUUAACUUUAUCGUAUCAUCAUCACGAUGGUACUAAUUAGUAUACUCCAUCUCCCUCUGUCAGUAAGUUAUGAUGAGAUGACGCAGAACUAAAGGCCUCUUCAUUACUUUUCUCACUCUUCAAUUGACUGUGAUCCAUUUUGGGUAGGGCUUUAAACUCAAAUCUACUCUUAACUGUCGUGAGUGGUUUUGUACACUCCAUCAUCAUCGUCAUGGCCUUCCUUCAGUCAGUAACUCAUGAUGAGAUGACGCCAAUUUUUUUUUUUUUUUCAUUAUAGGUCUACUGUCUCAUUCUUCAUUAGACUCUUACCCUUUUAAGGGUUUUUACUCAAAAUUAACAAAGAGCCAAUGAGCAUAAUAUGAUAAUAACCACGAUUAACAAAAUACACUCUUCUGGNNNNNNNNNNNNNNNNNNNNNNNNNNNNNNNNNNNNNNNNNNNNNNNNNNNNNNNNNNNNNNNNNNNNNNNNNNNNNNNNNNNNNNNNNNNNNNNNNNNNNNNNNNNNNNNNNNNNNNNNNNNNNNNNNNNNNNNNNNGCUGAGUCACCCUCCACGAGCUUAAUCUGGAUAGAAACUUUACCGAACAAAUACUUGCUCCUCGACUCGAACCCAGCUCCUGAAACAAUGAAUCAAACAUGAGUUUACAUAAACACCAGAAGAAACAGAGGAAACAGAACAGAUGAGAACUGAACAGAGGAAACAGAGCAGAGAGAAGAAAGGGAUUGGUUAGAGAUUAUGUACCAGAGGAGUUGUCAAGCUUGAGUUUUGUGACUUCUCCAUCGUUGACACAAUGAUCCAUAGCCCAGCUUGAACGGUAAAGGUCCUCGAACCUAGCUCCAGGAGCAGCCUCACCACAAGAAAUCACACACACCACCAUCAUCAUACACAUGAACCAGCCCAUACCCACCAUUUUGUUUUUAAAUGUCUCUCUUUUUCACUCACA